rnacentral:misc_RNA from 1 species
GUGGGAGCAAGGCUUGCCCGCGAUAGCCUUGGCGCGGAUCACAGGUAGACCGCGUCAUCGUUCAUCGCGGGCAAGCCUUGCUCCCAC